rnacentral:rRNA from 1 species
GUUUGAUCAUGGCUCAGAUUGAACGCUGGCGGCAGGCUAACACAUGCAAGUCGAGCGGAUGAGAGGAGCUUGCUCUGGAUUCAGCGGCGGACGGGUGAGUAAUGCCUAGGAAUCUGCCUGGUAGUGGGGGACAACGUUUCGAAAGGAACGCUAAUACCGCAUACGUCCUACGGGAGAAAGCAGGGGACCUUCGGGCUUGCGCUAUCAGAUGAGCCUAGGUCGGAUUAGCUAGUUGGUGAGGUAAUGGCUCACCAAGGCGACGAUCCGUAACUGGUCUGAGAGGAUGAUCAGUCACACUGGAACUGAGACACGGUCCAGACUCCUACGGGAGGCAGCAGUGGGGAAUAUUGGACAAUGGGCGAAACGUGAUCCAGCCAUGCCGCGUGUGUGAAGAAGGUCUUCGGAUUGUAAAGCACUUUAAGUUGGGAGGAAGGGCAGUAACUUAAUACGUUGCUGUUUUGACGUUACCGACAGAAUAAGCACCGGCUAACUCUGUGCCAGCAGCCGCGGUAAUACAGAGGGUGCAAGCGUUAAUCGGAAUUACUGGGCGUA